rnacentral:rRNA from 1 species
GGGCCCGCACAAGCAGCGGAGCAUGUGGUUUAAUUCGAAGCAACGCGAAGAACCUUACCUGGACUUGACAUUUACUGAAUUACCUGUAAAAAGGGAAGCCCUUCGGGGCAGUAGAACAGGUGGUGCAUGGUUGUCGUCAGCUCGUGUCGUGAGAUGUUGGGUUAAGUCCCGCAACGAGCGCAACCCUUAUCAUUAGUUGCCAGCAUUCAAGGUGGGCACUCUAGUGAGACCGCCGGGGUUAACCCGGAGGAAGGUGGGGAUGACGUCAAAUCAUCAUGCCCCUUAUGUCCAGGGCAACACACGUGCUACAAUGGUGAGAACAAAAAGAUGCAAGAGAGCGAUCUGGAGCCAAACUCAAAAAACUCAUCCCAGUUCGGAUUGCAGGCUGAAACCCGCCUGCAUGAAGCUGGAGUUGCUAGUAAUCGCGAAUCAGCAUGUCGCGGUGAAUACGUUCCCGGGCCUU